CCUGAUCCCAUGCCGAACUCAGCAGUGAAACCGCUUAGCGCCGAUGGUAGUGUGGGGUUUCCCCAUGCGAGAGUAGGUCAUCGUCAGGC
rnacentral:rRNA from 1 species